rnacentral:rRNA from 1 species
CUGACGAGUGGCGGACGGGUGAGUAAUGCUUGGGAAUCUGGCUUAUGGAGGGGGAUAACUACGGGAAACUGUAGCUAAUACCGCGUAGUGUCGAGAGACGAAAGUGCGGGACCGCAAGGCCGCAUGCCAUGGGAUGAGCCCAAGUGGGAUUAGGUAGUUGGUGGGGUAAAGGCCUACCAAGCCUGCGAUCUCUAGCUGGUCUGAGAGGAUGGCCAGCCACACUGGAACUGAGACACGGUCCAGACUCCUACGGGAGGCAGCAGUGGGGAAUAUUGCGCAAUGGGGGGAACCCUGACGCAGCCAUGCCGCGUGAAUGAAGAAGGCCUUCGGGUUGUAAAGUUCUUUCGGUAUUGAGGAAGGAGUGUAUGUUAAUAGCAUACAUUAUUGACGUUAAAUACAGAAGAAGCACCGGCUAACUCCGUGCCAGCAGCCGCGGUAAUACGGAGGGUGCGAGCGUUAAUCGGAAUAACUGGGCGUAAAGGGCACGCAGGCGGUUAUUUAAGUGAGGUGUGAAAGCCCCGGGCUUAACCUGGGAAUUGCAUUUCAGACUGGGUAACUAGAGUACUUUAGGGAGGGGUAGAAUUCCACGUGUAGCGGU